rnacentral:tRNA from 1 species
GCGAGGAUGGCGGAACUGGCAGACGCGCUAGUUUGAGGGGCUAGUGGGGUAACACCCGUGGGGGUUCGAGUCCCCCUCCUCGCAC